AUUUCUCUCUGAAAAAGGUUUGAGAGUGGCCAUAAGGGGUUCAAUGGCUCACAGUCGUAGCCCCGUCAUGGCUCCGCCGUGAACCGCGAUUGAGGGUGCACGGAUCCGGCUCCCUUCUAGGACCUUUCCAAACCUUUUCCCCUUUAAAAAUCUAAAAAGAAAACUAGAUCUAGGGGAUGUAAAACAGUUUUAAGAGAAAAAGAUGUAAAUCAUGGAAGAAGCGCCUUCGUUUUCGUGGCUUCUCUGACCCUCGUCAGAACCCGAACAGGUUUCAUGACGUUUGGGCUACCGGAGACCCUAUCAACGACCGACAAUGCGCCAAGGUAAGGUUUUUAUUGUUAUUAUUGCUUUUUGUACUUCCAAAAACAAAGAAAUGAACAAAAAUGCACCUUUUUGCUUUGAAUCCGAUUCUUCUAUUGCUAUUGAAAGUGUUCGUAAAAAAAAACAUUGGCUUGGUUUUCGGUUUUUAUAUCCGAAAAAUGAUACAUAUUUUAAUUCUUUCUUUUGUUUGUUUGCGUACUGCUCUUGUUCUGUCUACUUUCUCCCAUUUUUGCAUGUUUGCCGGUCUAUGAGGGAAGUCAACGAGGCAAAGGCUUCCUUUUUGGUGCAACGGGACAAGAAGAGUCGAGCCUCAGCCGUUGGACGUGCCGACGAGGCACGUGGGGUGCGCGGCGCUGGAAAGAAACUAGGGCUUCUAGGUCUGCCGAAAUUGGCUUGGGUUUUGGGCCUAUUGGGCCAUCAAAAAUUGGGGUGGGGGUUUAGGUUUCAUUUGUAAAGUGGGUUAGAUGUGAUUUGGGCUUUUAUAAAUGGAUUGUAAUAAUUUUGGACUUGUUAAAUUUUGGGUUUUGUUAUUACCGUUGGGUUUUCUAACGGGCCGGGCAAAUUUGAGUCCGUACAAUUUUUACCUCCAUAACACAAACUUUUCAAUGUAAAGGCUUCUGCUUCUUUGAUUACUCAAAGUGAUCCUCUUUGCUAAGGGGACAUCAUUAAAUUUUGGGGGGAAAUUUGUUGGUCAUGAUUUUACGAUCCCGGGGAAAAUUAGGCAACUGUCGAACUUCAAUAAUGGUUAAAUCCAAGUCACCGUAAAGGUAAACCACUUGCUUCGACACUUCUUUCACCAUUUUUAAAGCAGUUCACUAUAAAAAAAAAUCGUAGAGAAGAACAAAAGACAAAAGGACAGGUCUUCGAAGUUGCAGGCGACGAUGGGGGAUUUGGGUGUUAAACGAAAAGCCAAUACAUUGUUGAUUUCAGUGAAUUAAAAAGUGGGUUGACCUUGAUUUUGGCUUUCAUGAAGUCUAUAAAAAUGAAAAAUGGCAACCAUGUGAAGCUACAAG
rnacentral:lncRNA from 1 species